CCUACGGGAGGCAGCAGUGAGGAAUAUUGGUCAAUGGCCGGAAGGCUGAACCAGCCAUGCCGCGUGAAGGUCAGUGCCCUAUGGGCUUUAAACUUCUUUUUUGCGUGAGCAAUAAUGGUCACGUGUGGCCAGACGAGAGUACCGUACGAAUAAACAUCGGCUAACUCCGUUCCAGCAGCCGCGGUAAUACGGGGGAGGCAAUCGUUUUACGGAUUUAUUGGGUUUAAAGGGUUCGUAGGCUGGGAGGUAAGUCAGCGGUGAAAUGCCCCCGCUCAACGGGGUGAAGUGCCAUUGAUACUGCCUUGCGGGAAUGCGGAUGAGGUGGGAGGAAUGUGUGGUGUAGCGGUGAAAGGCAUAGAUAGCACACAGAACACCGAUUGCGAAGGCAUCUAACGAAUCCGCGAUUGACGCUGAUGCACGAAAGCGUGGGUAUCAAACAGGAUUAGAUACCCUGGUAGUC
rnacentral:rRNA from 1 species